rnacentral:lncRNA from 1 species
AGGAUUCCCCUAUAAUCCGACUAGGACUCAUACCGAGUACUCCUACUAAGACUCCUCCUUCUAAUCCGACUAGUUCUCCUACCCCCUGAAGUAUAUAAAGGAGGGCAGGAGUAUCUAGAUCGGCAGCUCACCUAAGCUCACAAAACAACAUAACACAACUCAUCAAUACAAUCCACACACAGGAUGUAGGGUAUUACGCAAUCUAGCGGCCCGAACCUGUUUAAA